ACACGAGAAGGGAGGUGGUUCGGCAGAUGUAUGACAACCGGACGCGUGAGGUGACUGCGGCCUAACGGCCGUCGUACCACGACACGUGGCGCGCCGGCUCCGCCGGCCAAUCCCAAGCAGUCACCCGAUCCGCGGGCCGCCGGUAUCGUCCGGCCGGCUCCCCGGCGGGCGCAUCGAGCGCCUACCGGGGGCUACGGCCCGCGGGUCGUUUUUU
rnacentral:sRNA from 1 species